UCGAGGGGCAGCACAGGUAGCAAUACCGGGUGGCGACCGGCGCACGGGUGAGUAACGCGUAUGCAACUUACCUAUCAGAGGGGGAUAACCCGGCGAAAGUCGGACUAAUACCGCAUGAAGCAGGGGCCCCGCAUGGGGAUAUUUGCUAAAGAUUCAUCGCUGAUAGAUAGGCAUGCGUUCCAUUAGGCAGUUGGCGGGGUAACGGCCCACCAAACCGACGAUGGAUAGGGGUUCUGAGAGGAAGGUCCCCCACAUUGGUACUGAGACACGGACCAAACUCCUACGGGAGGCAGCAGUGAGGAAUAUUGGUCAAUGGCCGAGAGGCUGAACCAGCCAAGUCGCGUGAGGGAUGAAGGCGGGAUGGAUCGUAAACCUCUUUUAUAAGGGAAUAAAGUGCGGGACGUGUCCCGUUUUGUAUGUACCUUAUGAAUAAGGAUCGGCUAACUCCGUGCCAGCAGCCGCGGUAAUACGGAGGAUCCGAGCGUUAUCCGGAUUUAUUGGGUUUAAAGGGUGCGUAGGCGGCCUUUUAAGUCAGCGGUGAAAGUCUGUGGCUCAACCAUAGAAUUGCCGUUGAAACUGGGGGGCUUGAGUAUGUUUGAGGCAGGCGGAAUGCGUGGUGUAGCGGUGAAAUGCAUAGAUAUCACGCAGAACCCCGAUUGCGAAGGCAGCCUGCCAAGCCAUUACUGACGCUGAUGC
rnacentral:rRNA from 1 species